rnacentral:lncRNA from 1 species
AAAUGAUUUAGCUAGUUGGCUGUAUGCUUGGUGGAGCAUCCUCAGGCUUAUUUUCACAGCUAAGCAAGAUUUUGCUAGAUGGUCUUUGAAUUCAAAGACUGCUUUUGGCAACUCCAGGAAGAAUAGUGCUGAUUAUUUAGAAAACUGUAGCUUUAUAAAUGGCCACUCUCCAGUAGCAGAAAUUAAUGGCAGAGGAGUGUAAUUUUCCUGUCGCUGAAAAUUGGGACAAUUUCAAAGAUUAAGUUAGUCUAUUUGACUGAGAUUAAACCAGAAUGAGAGGACAAGGUGACAUCCUUCCUCAUCUAAAUGACUUAUUCUUCCUGUGUUAUCACUCUGAAUGUUCUCCCAUAUUCUUGAAGAGUCUUCACUUACUGCCAAUCUUCAAACUAAGCCGUUACACCUGCCUUCAAAUAUGCUUGGA